GACGAACGCUGGCGGCGUGCUUAACACAUGCAAGUCGAACGGAAAGGCCCUGCUUUUGUGGGGUGCUCGAGUGGCGAACGGGGGAGUAACACGUGAGUAACCUGCCCUUGACUUUGGGAUAACUUCAGGAAACGGGGGCUAAGACCGGAUAGCAUCUCCUGCACCAUGGUGGGGGUUGGAAAUUCUCGGCGGUAGGGGAUGGACUCGCGGCUUAUCAGCUUGUUGGUGGGGUAGUGGCUUACCAAGGCUUUGACGGGUAGCCGGCCUGGGAGGGUGACCGGCGACAUUGGGACUGAGAUACGGCCCAGACUGGAACGGGAGACAGCAGUGGGGAAUAUUACACAAUGGGCGGAAGCCUGAUGCAGCAACGCCGGGGGCGGGAUGACGGCCUUCGGGUUGUAAAACGCUUUCGCCUGUGACGAAGCGGGAGUGACGGUAAUGAGUAAAGAAGCACCGGCUAACUACGUG
rnacentral:rRNA from 1 species